rnacentral:RNase_P_RNA from 1 species
UGAGCCGGUUGGGUGACCGCGGGCCGGCUUGACCGGUUCGAGGAAAGUCGGGGCUCCAAAGGGCAAGGUGCUGGCGAAGAACCAGUCGGAGUGAUCCGCAGGAAAGUGCAACAGAAAGCAAACCGCCGAUGGCCCGGGCAACCGGGCACAGGUAAGGGUGAAACGGUGCGGUAAGAGCGCACCAGCAUUCGAAGCGAUUCGGAUGGCUCUGUAAACCCCACCUGGAGCAAGGCCGAGCGUCGGGAUUGACUGCCCGUCAGUUGUUUCGAAAGAG